rnacentral:rRNA from 1 species
GUUGCUAGUAAUCGCGGAUCAGAAUGCCGCGGUGAAUGCGUUCCCGGGUCUUGUACACACCGCCCGUCACACCAUGGAAGUUGGGGGCGCCCGAAGUUGCCUAAGAAAUAAGGUACCUAAGGCGAAACCAAUGACUGGGGUGAAGUCGUAACAAGGUAAC